UUAGGAAUUUUGCGCAAUGGGGGAAACCCUGACGCAGCAACGCCGCGUGAGUGAUGAAGGCCUUCGGGUUGUAAAGCUCUUUUAACAGGAAAGAAAACAAUGACGGUACCUGUAGAAAAAGCACCGGCUAACUCUGUGCCAGCAGCCGCGGUAAUACAGAGGGUGCAAGCGUUAUUCGGAUUUACUGGGCGUAAAGGGCGCGUAGGCGGCUUGAUAAGUCUGAUGUGAAAGCCCCCGACUCAAUCGGGGA
rnacentral:rRNA from 1 species